rnacentral:snRNA from 1 species
GUGCUCGCUUCGGCAGCACAUAUACUAAAAUUGGAACGAUACAGAGAAGAUUAGCAUGGCCCCUGUGCAAGGAUGAUACGCAAAUUUGUGAAGCGUUCCAUAUUUAA